UGUGUGUGUGUGUGUGUGUGUGAGAGAGAGAGAGAGAUGUUGAUGUGAAGCUGUAGUUCAGACAUUUAAAGACUAAAUGCUUUACUCAAACACCAUCAGCCGGCUGUCCUCUUAUCUCUGUUAGCACAGCCAGCGCUCUGCGUGCGUGCGUGCGCGCGUGUGUGUGUGUGUGUUUGUGUGUGUUGUGUUUUAGAAUUCAUCUGUGCUUUGGAGAGAACUGAUGGAUUGUGAUUUAAUAAAUUUAAUAGAAUUUAUCA